GUAUGCUUUACACAUGCAAGUCGUACGAGAGUUUUUAACUCAAGUGGCGGACGGGUGAGUAACACGUAAGAAUUUGCCUUUAGGAGGGGGAUAACAACUGGAAACGGUUGCUAAUACCCCAUAUGCUUUCGAGUGAAAUGGAUUUUUCCGCCUAAAGAGAAGCUUGCGGCUGAUUAGCUUGUUGGUGAGGUAAUGGCUCACCAAGGCGACGAUCAGUAUCUGGUUUGAGAGGACGAUCAGACACACUGGAACUGAGACACGGUCCAGACUCCUACGGGAGGCAGCAGUGGGGAAUUUUCCGCAAUGGGCGAAAGCCUGACGGAGCAAUACCGCGUGAGGGAUGACGGCCUAUGGGUUGUAAACCUCUUUUUUCAGGGAGGAAUCAAAUGACGUGUACCUGAAGAAUAAGCAUCGGCUAACUCCGUGCCAGCAGCCGCGGUAAGACGGAGGAUGCAAGUGUUAUCCGGAAUCACUGGGCGUAAAGCGUCUGUAGGUGGUCCAAUAAGUCAACUGUUAAAUCUUGAGGCUCAACCUCAAAACCGCAGUCGAAACUAUUAGACUAGAGUAUAGUAGGGGUAAAGGGAAUUUCCAGUGGAGCGGUGAAAUGCGUAGAGAUUGGAAAGAACACCGAUGGCGAAGGCACUUUACUGGGCUAUUACUGACACUCAGAGACGAAAGCUAGGGUAGCGAAUGGGAU
rnacentral:rRNA from 1 species